GUGCUGACUUCAGCAGCACAUAUACUGAAAUUGGAAUGAUGCAGGGAAGAUUAGCACGGCUCCUGCACAAGGAUGACGCAAAUUCGUGAAGCAUUCCAUAUUUUA